rnacentral:rRNA from 1 species
CGUCCAACAGCUAGCCCCCCUCCCAAAAAGCAACAAAACCCUAUCAAUACCCCCAAAUACACCAACACCUCCUAAAACAAACCAUUUUUCCCCCUUAGUAUGGGCGACAGAAAAGGCA